GCAAGUCGAGCGAUGAAACUCCUUCGGGAGUGGAUUAGCGGCGGACGGGUGAGUAACACGUGGGCAACCUGCCUCAAAGUGGGGAAUAGCCCUCCGAAAGGAGGAUUAAUACCGCAUAAUAUGAAAGAAUCGCAUGGUACUUUCAUUAAAGAUUUAUCGCUUUGAGAUGGGCCCGCGGCGCAUUAGCUAGUUGGUGAGGUAACGGCUCACCAAGGCGACGAUGCGUAGCCGACCUGAGAGGGUGAUCGGCCACAUUGGAACUGGGACACGGUCCAGACUCCUACGGGAGGCAGCAGUGGGGAAUAUUGCGCAAUGGGGGAAACCCUGACGCAGCAACGCCGCGUGAGUGAUGAAGGUCUUCGGAUUGUAAAACUCUGUCUUCAGGGACGAUAAUGACGGUACCUGAGGAGGAAGCCACGGCUAACUACGUGCCAGCAGCCGCGGUAAUACGUAGGUGGCAAGCGUUGUCCGGAUUUACUGGGCGUAAAGAGUAUGUAGGCGGAUAUUUAAGUCAGAUGUGAAAUUCCCGGGCUUAACCUGGGAGCUGCAUUUGAAACUGGAUAUCUAGAGUGCGGGAGAGGAAAGUGGAAUUCCUAGUGUAGCGGUGAAAUGCGUANAGAUUAGGAAGAACACCAGUGGCGAAGGCGACUUUCUGGACCGUAACUGACGCUGANAUACNAAGCGUGGGGAGCAAACAGGAUUAAAUACCCUGGUAGUCCCGCCGUAACGAUGAAUACUAGGUGUCGGGGGGUACCACCCUCGG
rnacentral:rRNA from 1 species